rnacentral:rRNA from 1 species
CAGCCGCCACGGGAAUACGAAGGGGGCUAGCGUUGCUCGGAAUGACUGGGUGUAAAGGGCGCGUAGGCGGCGAUCAAAGUCAGGCGUGAAAUUCCUGGGCUCAACCUGGGGGCUGCGCUUGAUACUUGGUUGCUUGAGUGGGGAAGAGGGUCGUGGAAUUCCCAGUGUAGAGGUGAAAUUCGUAGAUAUUGGGAAGAACACCGGUGGCGAAGGCGGCCAUCUGGGACAACACUGACGCUGAGGCACGAAAGCGUGGGGAGCAAACAGGAUUAGAUACCCCGGUAGUCCCUGUCUCUUAUAC